rnacentral:rRNA from 1 species
GGGUUGUGAGGUUAAGCGACUAAGCGUACACGGUGGAUGCCCUGGCAGUCAGAGGCGAUGAAGGACGUGCUAAUCUGCGAAAAGCGUCGGUAAGGUGAUAUGAACCGUUAUAACCGGCGAUGUCCGAAUGGGGAAACCCAGUGCAAUUCGUUGCACUAUCGUUAACUGAAUACAUAGGUUAACGAGGCGAACCGGGGGAACUGAAACAUCUAAGUACCCCGAGGAAAAGAAAUCAACCGAGAUUCCCCCAGUAGCGGCGAGCGAACGGGGAGCAGCCCAGAGUCUGAAUCAGCUUGUGUGUUAGUGGAACGGUCUGGAAAGUCCGACGGUACAGGGUGAUAGUCCCGUACACCAAAAUGCACAGGCUGUGAACUCGAAGAGUAGGGCGGGACACGUGGUAUCCUGUCUGAAUAUGGGGGGACCAUCCUCCAAGGCUAAAUACUCCUGACUGACCGAUAGUGAACCAGUACCGUGAGGGAAAGGCGAAAAGAACCCCGGCGAGGGGAGUGAAAAAGAACCUGAAACCGUGUACGUACAAGCAGUGGGAGCACCUUCGGGUGUGACUGCGUACCUUUUGUAUAAUGGGUCAGCGACUUAUAUUCUGUAGCAAGGUUAACCGUAUAGGGAGCCGCAGGAAACCGAGUCUUAACUGGGCGUUAAGUUGCAGGGUAUAGACCCGAAACCCGGUGAUCUAGCCAUGGGCAGGUUGAAGGUUGGGUAACACUAACUGGAGGACCGAACCGACUAAUGUUGAAAAAUUAGCGGAUGACUUGUGGCUGGGGUGAAAGGCCAAUCAAACCGGGAGAUAGCUGGUUCUCCCGAAAGCUAUUUAGGUAGCGCCUCGUGAAUUCAUCUUCGGGGUAGAGCACUGUUUCGGCUAGGGGCAUCCCGACUUACCAACCCGAUGCAAACUACGAAUACCGAAGAAUGUUAUCACGGGAGACACACGGCGGGUGCUAACGUCCGUCGUGAAGAGGAAACAACCCAGACCGCCAGCUAAGGUCCCAAAGUCAUGGUUAAGUGGGAAACGAUGUGGGAAGGCACAGACAGCCGGAUGUUGGCUUAGAAGCAGCCAUCAUUUAAAGAAAGCGUAAUAGCUCACUGGUCGAGUCGGCCUGCGCGGAAGAUGUAACGGGCUAAACCAUGCACCGAAGCUGCGGCAGCGACACUAUGUGUUGUUGGGUAGGGAGCGUUCUGUAAGCCUGCGAAGGUGACCUGUGAGGGUUGCUGGAGGUAUCAGAAGUGCGAAUGCUGACAUAAGUAACGAUAAAGCGGGUGAAAAGCCCGCUCGCCGGAAGACCAAGGGUUCCUGUCCAACGUUAAUCGGGGCAGGGUGAGUCGACCCCUAAGGCGAGGCCGAAAGGCGUAGUCGAUGGGAAACAGGUUAAUAUUCCUGUACUUGGUGUUACUGCGAAGGGGGGACGGAGAAGGCUAUGUUAGCCGGGCGACGGUUGUCCCGGUUUAAGCAUGUAGGCUGGUUAUCCAGGCAAAUCCGGAUAAUCAAGGCUGAGGUGUGAUGACGAGGCACUACGGUGCUGAAGUAACAAAUGCCCUGCUUCCAGGAAAAGCCUCUAAGCAUCAGGUAACAUCAAAUCGUACCCCAAACCGACACAGGUGGUCAGGUAGAGAAUACCAAGGCGCUUGAGAGAACUCGGGUGAAGGAACUAGGCAAAAUGGUGCCGUAACUUCGGGAGAAGGCACGCUGGUGUGUAGGUGAAGUCCCUGCGGAUGGAGCUGAGACCAGUCGAAGAUACCAGCUGGCUGCAACUGUUUAUUAAAAACACAGCACUGUGCAAACACGAAAGUGGACGUAUACGGUGUGACGCCUGCCCGGUGCCGGAAGGUUAAUUGAUGGGGUUAUCCGUAAGGAGAAGCUCUUGAUCGAAGCCCCGGUAAACGGCGGCCGUAACUAUAACGGUCCUAAGGUAGCGAAAUUCCUUGUCGGGUAAGUUCCGACCUGCACGAAUGGCGUAAUGAUGGCCAGGCUGUCUCCACCCGAGACUCAGUGAAAUUGAACUCGCUGUGAAGAUGCAGUGUACCCGCGGCAAGACGGAAAGACCCCGUGAACCUUUACUAUAGCUUGACACUGAACAUUGAGCCUUGAUGUGUAGGAUAGGUGGGAGGCUUUGAAGCGUGGACGCCAGUCUGCGUGGAGCCAACCUUGAAAUACCACCCUUUAAUGUUUGAUGUUCUAACGUUGGCCCCUUACCGGGGUUGCGGACAGUGUCUGGUGGGUAGUUUGACUGGGGCGGUCUCCUCCCAAAGCGUAACGGAGGAGCACGAAGGUUAGCUAAUCCCUGGUCGGACAUCAGGAGGUUAGUGCAAUGGCAUAAGCUAGCUUGACUGCGAGCGUGACGGCGCGAGCAGGUGCGAAAGCAGGUCAUAGUGAUCCGGUGGUUCUGAAUGGAAGGGCCAUCGCUCAACGGAUAAAAGGUACUCCGGGGAUAACAGGCUGAUACCGCCCAAGAGUUCAUAUCGACGGCGGUGUUUGGCACCUCGAUGUCGGCUCAUCACAUCCUGGGGCUGAAGUAGGUCCCAAGGGUAUGGCUGUUCGCCAUUUAAAGUGGUACGCGAGCUGGGUUUAGAACGUCGUGAGACAGUUCGGUCCCUAUCUGCCGUGGGCGCUGGAGAAUUGAGGGGGGCUGCUCCUAGUACGAGAGGACCGGAGUGGACGCAUCACUGGUGUUCGGGUUGUCAUGCCAAUGGCACUGCCCGGUAGCUAAAUGCGGAAGAGAUAAGUGCUGAAAGCAUCUAAGCACGAAACUUGCCCCGAGAUGAGUUCUCCCUGAGACUUUAAGUCUCCUGAAGGAACGUUGAAGACGACGACGUUGAUAGGCCGGGUGUGUAAGCGCAGCGAUGCGUUGAGCUAACCGGUACUAAUGAACCGUGAGGCUUAACCUUACAACGCCGAAG